rnacentral:rRNA from 1 species
UACGUAGGGGGCAAGCGUUGUCCGGAUUUAUUGGGCGUAAAGAGCGUGUAGGCGGUUUGGUAGGUCCGCUGUGAAAACUCGAGGCUCAACCUCGAGACGCCGGUGGAAACCAUCAGACUAGAGUCCGGAAGAGGAGAGUGGAAUUCCUGGCGUAGCGGUGAAAUGCGCAGAUAUCAGGAAGAACACCCGUGGCUAAGGCGGCUCUCUAGUACGGUACUGACGCUGAGACGCGAAAGCGUGGGGAGCGAACAGG